ACCUGACCAGAAACAGAAUCUGCUGGCACCUGAUCUGGGACUUGCAGCCUCUAAAAUGCCUGUUUCAGAAGAAUUCCACAAAAUGAGUAAAAUUACAGAAUAUUUUGAAUAUAUAAAGAUAUACAAAAUAUCUUACAGUGAACAUACAGAACAGAAAAAUACAACGAUCACUCUUCCAACCAGUAUUUAACCUGAAUGAUCUCAU
rnacentral:lncRNA from 1 species